UACGUAGGGGGCAAGCGUUGUCCGGAAUCAUUGGGCGUAAAGAGCGUGUAGGCGGCCAGAAAAGUCCGCUGUGAAAACUCGAGGCUCAACUUCGAGCUGUCGGUGGAAACUUUCUGGCUAGAGUCCGGAAGAGGAGAAUGGAAUUCCUGGUGUAGCGGUGAAAUGCGCAGAUAUCAGGAAGAACACCCGUGGCGAAGGCGGUUCUCUGGGACGGUACUGACGCUGAGGUGCGAAAGCGUGGGGAGCAAACAGG
rnacentral:rRNA from 1 species